UACGAAGGGGGGCUAGCGUUGCUCGGAAUCACUGGGCGUAAAGCGCACGUAGGCGGACUCUUAAGUCGGUGGUGAAAUCCUGGAGCUCAACUCCAGAACUGCCUUCGAUACUGGGAGUCUCGAGUCCGGGAGAGGUGAGUGGAACUGCGAGUGUAGAGGUGAAAUUCGUAGAUAUUCGCAAGAACACCAGUGGCGAAAGGCGGCUCACUGGCCCGGUACUGACGCUGAGGUGCGAAAAGCGUGGGGGGAGCAAAACAGG
rnacentral:rRNA from 1 species